rnacentral:rRNA from 1 species
UACGUAGGGUGCAAGCGUUGUCCGGAAUUAUUGGGCGUAAAGAGCUCGUAGGCGGUUUGUUGCGUCGGCUGUGAAAUCCCGAGGCUCAACCUCGGGUCUGCAGUCGAUACGAGCAAACUAGAGUGUUGCAGGGGAGACUGGAAUUCCUGGUGUAGCGGUGAAAUGACGCAGAUAUCAGGAGGAACACCGAUGGCGAAGGCAGGUCUCUGGGCAUUAACUGACGCUGGAGGAGCGAAAGCUGGGGAGCAAACAGG